rnacentral:rRNA from 1 species
CGGACGGGUGAGUAACACGUGGAUAACCUACCUAUAAGACUGGGAUAACUUCGGGAAACCGGAGCUAAUACCGGAUAAUAUUUUGAACCGCAUGGUUCAAUAGUGAAAGACGGUUUUGCUGUCACUUAUAGAUGGAUCCGCGCUGCAUUAGCUAGUUGGUAAGGUAACGGCCUACCAAGGCAACGAUGCAUAGCCGACCUGAGAGGGUGAUCGGCCACACUGGAACUGAGACACGGUCCAG